AAAUUAGCAAAGAAGUCCCAUAACUUCGGGAUAAGGAUUGCCUCCUGACAAAGGGGUAGUAGUGACUAGGCCCGGGUGACUAUUUACCAAAAACUUAGAUCGCCGCGUAGACGUAAGACCAUGUGUGGGGGGCUAAUACCUGAUCAGUGCCAAAAGAUCAAGGUCAGUUGGUGACCUGAUGAUAGGGAAGCCGGUGACUGAAGCCUCGUUGAACAGUGCCGUAACUAUCAUGGUAACAUGUCACUUGUCUCGUUCGUGCUAAGAUAUAACUGAAGGAGAAGCAUUUUUGUUGCAG
rnacentral:ncRNA from 1 species